GCACCUCCUGCGCCGCCCCCUCCCCUCCCCCGAGAACCAGCCACCGGGCCGCCACCGGUCCUAAAUCCGUCCGCCGCGCCGCUCCCUCCCCGGGAUCCGGCCGCCGCGACACCACCUCCCUCGGAUCCGGCCACCGGACCGCCUCCUUCCCCCGGAUCCGGCCGGGAUUGAUCCCACCACCGCCUGCCGCCACCAAGCACCGGCGUGCGACCCCGACGCCGCCUCCCUCCAUGAAGCGCCGGCGCCCGACCCCGUCACCUACCUCUGGUACGCCAUCGCGCCUCCGCUGCCACCUAGGGUGCCCCUGACGUCGCCCAGCUCCUCCUCACGCGACGACCCCCUGCGACGCACGCCUCCUCGAUGUUCUGCCCCGGACACGGGCGCCUCCCCGUCCACCCUCCGGCGACCGAAACCAGCUCCGCCCGCCGUAGCAGAGGACAGGCCCCGUUCGUGGCCUCCCCUCCCCUCCGCCCGGGUGCGACCUUCCCUGCGCUCUGGCGCGGCCUGCCCUCCCCUCUGGUGCGACCUGCUCUCUGGUACGGCCCGCCCUCCUCCAGCGCGCCUGCACUCUGCUCCGUCGGCGCAACGACCGAGCACCAGACCUCCCUCCUCUCUCCCACUAGGACGGCAGUGCAGGUGGCUAGUGUUUGAAGUUCGGUUGUAUAUUCAUUGCCGUGGAUGACGUUUUAUGUUGUAGUAGUGUAGCCGUGGCCUACAUUUAACAAUAGUAGAUAUGUAUGUACUGAUCGUGCGCUAGUAGUAACCCAGAUUUACUUUGUUCUAUCUCCCUUUGAGGAAUGAAACUGCAGAGAUAUAUUACUUUUGCUUGGAGUUCUCUGAAAAUGUUCUUUGAAAUGCUCUCUGAAAAUGUUGUUACUUUUCCUUGCUGCUUCCUUUUACAAGACUGCGCUGAAACAAUAUUAGUAGUAGUAUAUUGUUAUAGUAUACGUUCAGAUUUAGGCAGAAGAAAUAUGGUCAUUUCUGCUACUGUCCUUGGGAGUGUAUUUCCUCCAUACCUCAAAACAUGUUCAUUUCUGUUCUGUAUGGCACAUUUGCACACCUCUCUUCGCGGCACAAAAUUUAAAUUGUGCUUGUCUUGUAUAUUUGCUUGCAUGCUUGUGUAAACAAAGUGAGUAGUACAUGUGACCAUAGAUGAUAAAUACACAUAUCCUAUAAGCUAAACUGAAGCUUGCUACUUGUGUAUGAUCAGCUAUAAACAUGUAAACGUCCCCUCGGGCACCUGAAGAGGUAGCCAAUAUCGCCAUGUUGUUAUGAUCUGCUUUGUUUGUAUUGUAUCUGCAAUUUACAUUGAUCUUGUUGUCAAAGUUGGAAGUUCAGAACUUAGAAUUCCAUUUUUGUUUGUUGUACUCUCAAACCAGUAUAUUGUACGCAAUAUCUCAAGUAAAAUUCUACUCUUUUUCUACCAUUAUUAGAAAAUAUACAAUUCGCUACUGUCGCCAUUAUAGCUUACAAACUGCAGUUUCCAUUGAUGACUGUUUACAUGUACAGUAUGAGACCAUUUCUCAUGUUAGUUUGCAGGAAAAAUAAAAGAAACCGCUUUCUACAUGCAAAAGGGCAUCAAAUUUUGGAAGAAGUAUGGCGUUGAAUGAAAAAAUGAGGGAAAAAAGGAUCCUCAAGCAAAUCAAGCAAUGGAAAUCUUCCUUGGUGGAGCUAGUAAUGCAAAGCUGCAAAGCUUCAGUUUUAUGUAAUCUUGUCUAAAUUGUGAUAAUUUUAUGUUGCUGUGAACCUCUGCUGUAUUGUUAAGAUUGAACAUUUCACAAAGUCCUAUGUUGAAGCUCCUCCUUCUGUUUUUCAUUUAUGUGUACUUCUAUGGUUCAAUUUAAUGCAAACCAUUUUUGUAUGUGUGAACAUCAAAGGUUCAGUGUUAUAUUCUUGCUCAUUUUGGUGCUGGUAAGGAUCUCAUCUCAAAAUCCUAGUGCCAGCCAAACAUGAAAUUUGGAUUUGGAAUUUGGAUUCAGGCAAAUGAAAUCUUGAUGGAGAUUCCAUUUCAUUUCCACCAAAUGAAAUGAAAUCAGGGGAGCCAAACGAGCUGUAACAGUAAAAGUUCAAGUGUGACUGUAUGAGUCCUUGCAUUGCAUGUCCCUCCAUUAGGUGUGUUUCUUCUAUAUAAAGUGCAGUGAGCAGCUGAGUUAACUCAAUCAUUCAUCGGCAUAUACGUACAGACAACUUAUGCAUCAACAUGAGGUAAGUAGGUAGGUGUAGCCCUUUGCACUUUGUUACAGUGCGCAUGUGCACUUGUUUCUUCUUCUUUUGGAGCCAUGUACACGAUGAAACCAUUUUUUGUGUUCUUCAGCACCUCAGCCUUCCCAUGGAUCCUGCUGUCUUGUUCUCUUCCUUUUGGUGUGAGUUUGGAAUUAAAGUUCAGACAUAACACGGGAAGAAAAACUUCAGAGAAUUCUUUGCAUGUUGUUAGAUCAUGAUGGACUUUUCAUACAUGUUUAUGCUAGUUAGUACUCUCUUUUGUGUUUCAAGCCUUGUGUUUCAUGAAGAGAGAUAGAGACAUUUGUUGGCGACGAUAGAACGCAAAAAAGGUUAUGGAAUACCAAUGAUAGAAGUUCAUGUAUAUGAAGGUUGAUGCUUCGCGUGUUGCGUGUAUACACGGGAGCUCACAAGAAAUCAUGUUGUGCCAUCAUUCAGUAGCAGUUCAAUAAGAAAACCUGCAGUAGUUCUAUUAGUAUUAUUCCAUCAGAAAAAAAUCAAGUUAUGCUUCUUGAUGUUGACAACAACAAAAAACGCCAUUUUUUGCGGCAAAAUUAUGCAAAAAAUUACAGUGGAAUACGGUGCUCUCAAAAAGUUUUAGUGGUGUCCAUAAGAACGCAACAUUUUUUCUAUUUUCCUUUCCUUUUUUGUAUAUAUAAGAAUGCAUAAAACUUGAGCCGGUCAGGGACAUAUCGUCGAGAAGUUCAUGUAUAAAUGGACUUGUUAACUCUGAAAGUUCAAAACUAAUAAAAUGGAGAGGUCAAAGAAAAUGAAAAACAAAAAAGUUCAAACAAUUUCCAUGGAUUUCGAUGGAUCUUUCUGAUAUAUGAAGAAAACCAGAAGUUCAAAUUCAAAUAGAUGAGCGGUUCGAUGUUUAUUACAAACCUAGGAAUUUUCCAUUACUAAAAGAAAUAAAAUGAAGAAGUUCAAAUUUUAAAAAUGGAGCAGUUUGAUAUUAUAUUUGAAAACUCGGAUUUUUCUGGUUACUAAAGAAAAAACCAAUAAGUUCAAUUCAAAAUAACGAAGAAGUUCAAUUGGGAAAAGCAUAGCGGUUUGAUAUUUACUUAAAAAUUCGGAUUUUUCUGAUUACUAAAGAAUAAAACCAACAAGUUCAAUUGAAAAUAACGAAGAAGUUCGAUGUUUCUAACAAAACUCCAAUUUUCUAUUUCUAAAAAUACACAAUGAAGUUCAAAUAAAAGAAAGUAGAGCGCUUCAAUGUAAAACUCGGAUAUUUUCACGUAAUCGAGAGAAGUUUAGAUUGAUAGUUGCCAGAAGUUCACAUACUACACGGUGUGCAUUUUGUAAUAAAAGAUAAUAAAAAAGCAAAAUGCUAAAAAAAAUUGUUGCUAGAAGUUCAAGUGCUCGACCCGAGAAAGUUCAAAAAUUCUUGUGAGAGAGGUUGAACAAAAAUACGUGACAGAAGUUCAAGGUGAAAAUAGCGGGGAGUUCAACUACUAGACAGAAUGCGUUUCAGAUAAGAAUAUAGAAAUUGAAAACUAAAAGCUUAAAAGGUUUGUUGCAAGCAUAGUUCAAAAAUUCAUGUGCGAGACGUCCAUCGUUCAUUUACAUAUGUCUACGGCAACAAAUUUGUAACAAAUGUCUACAUGAAAAACUUGCCGCUAUUCAUAAGCUUUCCACCAGGUAUAUUAUGUGCCACAUUUCGAUGAAAGGUUUAAAAUUUUCUUGUAUACCAUUUAAAACACAUUUUUAUGUAUUCAAAAAAUUCUUAUCUGUUGAAAGAAGUUCAUAGUGAAAACAACGAGAAGUUCAAGUACUGCAAGGAAUGCAUUUCACGUGAGAAUAAAAGUAUAGAAAAAUAAAAGUUUAAAAGGUUUGUUGAAAUAAGUUCAAGUGCUCUGUUCGGAGAAGUUCAAAAUUUCUUGCGAGAGAGGUUCACCUUGUAUUUCCAUGUUCGACUUUUUCCGUAUAAAAUCGAAUACAAUUCUUUACUCAAAAUAUAAAAAGGUGAUGUUCAAAUUGAAAUAACAAAGAAGUUCGGAGUUUAUUAAAACCUAGGACUUACCUGUUCAAAAAAUAAAAAACACAACGCCAUUUUUUCCACUUUUAAAAACAACUUAUAAACGAAAAAAUGGUUGCUAGAAGUUCAAGUGCUCGGCGAGGAAAAGUUAAAAAAAUUCUUGUGAGAGAGGUUCACCAUGUAUUUAGAUGUCCAAAAUACAUAAAAAAGAUGUUGUUUUUUGUGUUUUAAAAUAAUUCGCUCAAACCAGAGAGAAGUUCCAAGUGAUAACAACCGGAAGUUCACGUACUACAUGGUGUGUAUUUCAUAUAAGAAAAAUACAAUAAAGUGAAACAGAGUGAAGUUCAAACAGACAUGCCCCAGAAGUCCAACUACUUCACGUAGUGCAACAAACAACACGUCAAAAACAGAGUGAAGUUCAAAUAGACAUGCCCGAGAAGUUCAACUACUUCACGCAGUGCGUUUCCAUUCGCAAUGAAGGCAGAAAUCAUGAUCUCGUCAUUUCUCAAAUUUACUUCAAAAUGACAGGAAUAUCAUUUGUGUAAGUUCAAGUCCUCGAUCGGAGAAAGUUAAAAAAAAUGUGUGAGAGGUUUGUACAAAAAGAAUAUCAUUUGUGUAACGCUGACGAAAUGGAUGAGAAAAUUACAAAUGAAAAUACGUCACAGAAGUUCAACGUGAAAACAGCACGAAGUUCGACUACUAUAGUGAAUGAAUUUGAG
rnacentral:lncRNA from 1 species